AACGAACGCUGGCGGCAGGCUUAACACAUGCAAGUCGAACGCAGCCUUCGGGGUGAGUGGCAGACGGGUGAGUAACGCGUGGGAACGUGCCCUUCAGUUCGGGAUAACCCAGGGAAACUUGGGCUAAUACCGGCUACGUGCGUGAGCAGAAAGAUUUAUCGCUGAAGGAUGGGCCCGCGUCUGAUUAGCUAGUGGGUGGGGUAAUGGCCCACCAAGGCGACGAUCAGUAGCUGGUCUGAGAGGAUGAUCAGCCACAUUGGGACUGAGACACGGCCCAAACUCCUACGGGAGGCAGCAGUGGGGAAUAUUGGACAAUGGGCGCAAGCCUGAUCCAGCCAUGCCGCGUGAGUGAUGAAGGCCUUAGGGUUGUAAAGCUCUUUCGUCCGGGACGAUAAUGACGGUACCGGAAGAAGAAGCCCCGGCUAACUUCGUGCCAGCCGCCGCGGUAA
rnacentral:rRNA from 1 species